CCUACGGGUGGCAGCAGUGAGGAAUAUUGGUCAAUGGGCGUAAGCCUGAACCAGCCAAGUCGCGUGAGGGAUGAAGGUUCUAUGGAUCGUAAACCUCUUUUAUAAGGGAAUAAAGUGAGGGACGUGUCCCGUUUUGCAUGUACCUUAUGAAUAAGCAUCGGCUAACUCCGUGCAAGCAGCCGCGGUAAUACGGAGGAUCCGAGCGUUAUCCGGAUUUAUUGGGUUUACAGGGUGCGUAGGUGGCCUUUUAAUUCAGCGGUGAAAGUCUGUGGCUCAACCAUAGCAUUGCCGUUGAAACUGGGAGGCUUGAGUAUGUUUGAGGCAGGCGGAAUGCGUGGUGUAGCGGUGAAAUGCUUAGAUAUCACGCAGAACCCCGAUUGCGAAGGCAGCCUGCUAAGCCAUGACUGACGCUGAUGCACGAAAGCGUGGGGAUCAAACAGGAUUAGAUACCCUUGUAGUC
rnacentral:rRNA from 1 species